AUUGAACGCUGGCGGCAUGCCUUACACAUGCAAGUCGAACGGUAACAGGUCUUCGGAUGCUGACGAGUGGCGAACGGGUGAGUAAUACAUCGGAACGUGCCCGAUCGUGGGGGAUAACGCAGCGAAAGCUGUGCUAAUACCGCAUACGAUCUACGGAUGAAAGCGGGGGAUCGCAAGACCUCGCGCGGACGGAGCGGCCGAUGGCAGAUUAGGUAGUUGGUGGGAUAAAAGCUUACCAAGCCGACGAUCUGUAGCUAGUCUGAGCGGACGACCAGCCACACUGGGACUGAGACACGGCCCAGAUUCGUGCGGGAGGCAGCAGUGGGGAAUUUUGGACAAUGUGCGCAAGCCUGAUCCAGCCAUGCCGCGUGCAGGAUGAAGGCCUUCGGGUUGUAAACUGCUUUUGUACGGAACGAAAAAGUUCUCUCUAAUACAGGGGGCGAAUGACGGUACCGUAAGAAUAAGCACCGGCUAACUACGUGCCAGCCGCCGCGGUAAAAC
rnacentral:rRNA from 1 species